rnacentral:rRNA from 1 species
AGUGAACGCUGGCGGUAGGCCUAACACAUGCAAGUCGAACGGCAGCACAGUAAGAGCUUGCUCUUACGGGUGGCGAGUGGCGGACGGGUGAGGAAUACAUCGGAAUCUACUUUUUCGUGGGGGAUAACGUAGGGAAACUUACGCUAAUACCGCAUACGACCUACGGGUGAAAGCGGGGGAUCUUCGGACCUUGCGCGAUUGAAUGAGCCGAUGUCGGAUUAGCUAGUUGGCGGGGUAAAGGCCCACCAAGGCGACGAUCCGUAGCUGGUCUGAGAGGAUGAUCAGCCACACUGAACUGAGACACGGUCCAGACUCCUACGGGAGGCAGCAGUGGGGAAUAUUGGACAAUGGGCGCAAGCCUGAUCCAGCCAUACCGCGUGGGUGAAGAAGGCCUUCGGGUUGUAAAGCCCUUUUGUUGGGAAAGAAAAGCAGCAGGUUAAUACCCCGCUGUUCUGACGGUACCCAAAGAAUAAGCACCGGCUAACUUCGUG